AGGGUUUGAUUCUGGCUCAGGAUGAACGCUAGCUACAGGCUUAACACAUGCAAGUCGCGGGGCAGCAUAGGGUUUUAGCAAUAAAAUUCGGAUGGCGACCGGCGCACGGGUGAGUAACACGUAUCCAACCUGCCCUUUACCCGGGGAUAGCCUUGCGAAAGCAAGAUUAAUACCCGAUGGCAUUGUUUUCCCGCAUGGGGAAUCAAUUAAAGGAGAGAUUUGGUAAAGGAUGGGGAUGCGUUCCAUUAGGCAGUAGGCGGGGUAACGGCCCACCUAACCGACGAUGGAUAGGGGUUCUGAGAGGAAGGUCCCCCACAUUGGAACUGAGACACGGUCCAA
rnacentral:rRNA from 1 species